UCGCGAGAGCUAGCAAUCCCAUAAACCGUGGCUCAGUUCAGAUCGUAGGCUGCAACUCGCCUACGUGAAGGAGGAAUCGCUAGUAAUCGCAGGUCAGCAUACUGCGGUGAAUACGUUCCCGGGCCUUGUACACACCGCCCGUCACACCAUGGAAGUUGGCCACGCCCGAAGCCGUUACUCCAACCCUUGUGGAGGAGGACGUCGAAGGUGGGGCUGAUGACUGGGGUGAAGUCGUAACAAGGUAGCCGUACCGGAAGGUGCGGCUGGAUCACCUCCUAACA
rnacentral:rRNA from 1 species